CCUACGGGCGGCAGCAGUGGGGAAUAUUGGACAAUGGGCGAAAGCCUGAUCCAGCCAUGCCGCGUGUGUGAAGAAGGCCUUCGGGUUGUAAAGCACUUUCAGUGGGGAAGAAAGCCUUGGGGCUAAUACCCUCGAGGAAGGACAUCACCCACAGAAGAAGCACCGGCUAACUCCGUGCCAGCAGCCGCGGUAAUACGGAGGGUGCGAGCGUUAAUCGGAAUUACUGGGCGUAAAGCGCGCGUAGGCGGUCUGAUAAGCCGGUUGUGAAAGCCCCGGGCUCAACCUGGGAACGGCAUCCGGAACUGUCAGGCUAGAGUGCAGGAGAGGAAGGUAGAAUUCCCGGUGUAGCGGUGAAAUGCGUAGAGAUCGGGAGGAAUACCAGUGGCGAAGGCGGCCUGCUGGACUGACACUGACGCUGAGGUGCGAAAGCGUGGGUAGCAAACAGGAUUAGAUACCCGAGUAGUC
rnacentral:rRNA from 1 species